CGAAUUAGCUAAGUUGGUAGAGCGCAUGCCUCUUAAUCGUGUGGUCGUUGGUUCGAUUACAU
rnacentral:tRNA from 14 species